rnacentral:rRNA from 1 species
GAUGAACGCUGGCGGCGUGCUUAACACAUGCAAGUCGAACGGAAAGGCCCUGCGUUUGUGGGGUGCUCGAGUGGCGAACGGGUGAGUAACACGCGAGUAACCUGCCCUUGACUUUGUGAUAACUUUAGGAAACUGGGGCUAAUACCGGAUAGGAGCUCUUGCUGCACGUUGGUGGUUGGAAAGUUUCGGCGGUUGGGGCUGGACUCGCGGCUUAUCAGCUUGUUGGUCUGGUAGUGGCGUACGAAGGCUUAGAAGGGUAGGCGGCAUGGGAGGGUGAACGGCCACAUGGGGACUGAGAUAGGGAGCAGUAUGCUACGGGAGGCAGCAGUGGGGAGUAUUGCGGAAUGGGCGGGAGCCUGAGACAGCGACGCCGCGUGCGGGAUGAUGGGCUUCGGGUUGUAAACCACUUUCGCCUGUGACGAAGCGUGAGUGACGGUAAUGGGUAAAGAAGCACCGGCUAACUACGUG